rnacentral:sRNA from 1 species
UACAUCGUGCUGUCGCUAUUAAUGCCGGC